rnacentral:lncRNA from 13 species
CUCUAGUUGAUGGCCACCAAGAAAGCAGGCACUUCAGUCCAACAACUAUAAGGAAGUGAAGCCUGCCAACAAUCACAUAAGCUUGGCAAAAGACCCUGAACUCCAGAAAGGAACAUAGUCCAACCAUUAUUGUGAUUGCAUCUUUGUGAGACCCUGAGCAGAGAAUCCAGCAAACCUGAACCUGACUUCUGACCUACAGAAAUCAUGAGGUUAGUGGACCAUUCUACCUAAGGCAUAUGUCAUAUCCAGGCAUAAUGUACACUACUCAAAAGUGAGAGAUCACCAACAGUCAUGUGAUUCAACAUAACUUGAAGAUCUUCUUGAUAACUGGUAUUCAGAUUAUCCCAUUUUACAGGUGCUAGAAAGAUGCUAAUGGGCCACUCUGGUUUUCUGUUUGGUGCUUCUCUUAAGCAGAUUUAAAGAUCACCAACUCAUCAAUGGGCUUUACCUUUCUAGAUGAAGCUGCACGAUUUCAAGGAAAAUACAAGAAGACGCAUCUGUCUUAACAAAAUGUAAUGAACCAAUAAAAUAAAAGACACGAAAGGUGCA